AGAUAUACACAAGAAGCAACCAAAGUAUCAUUUACACAUAAAUUUUAGCAUCAGGUGCAUCAAUGCAUGCUCCAACACAUUAGUUACCCACUAAAAAGGGUCAGUAAUUCCCUUUAUAUGAAGAAAUUGCCACCUCAAUAUCUAAGUUAAAGACAUGAAACAAAAUUAAUCAAUUAAAAAUUUAGCCAUUGUUAUUGUGAUAUACAUUGUUGAGUCCAUUUCCUAAAGAUUAAUAUUUUAGCUUAGAUGAUUCUUGAGCAAUCUCCGCAAUUAAUGAUCAAAAUUGGAAACUUGAGUCAAGGCUAGAACAAAUAGAUAGACAGAUUUUGUGCAAGGUAAAACAAUUAUACAUUGCAUUAGCACAUGAUGUAUAUUGUUUUUUUUUUUUUUUAAUCUUAGUUGGGUUGAUUUUUAUUGAGUCCAUGAUCAUAGAUAAUUUAGUUUUGAAGUGCAUAGACUUUACUAUCUUAUGAACUUGACCUUUAGAACCCAUGGAAUUGGUUUCAGGAAUUUGUGCAAUUGGGUUGAAAGUGUGGACCACAUCAGUUUAAUAUACGAGUUCGAACAUACAACAAAGCUGAUGCAGUGUGUGUACGAACAAAAAUGUUAUUUUGGAGAUACAUAGAACAUCAGUACCUUCUUCAUUAGUACACAACUAUAGUAUGUAUAAGAAAAGUAGCCCUUUAGGCAUAUUGUCAAACACAUAGUGAGCAUGAAAUUGAUAUUGUAACAGGACAACACAACAAGAAUAACGCAGCAGGGGACAAAAUAUUAAAUUUCAGUAGGUUAAGAAGACAACCACAACACAUAAAUUUCAGUAGGUUAAGAAGACAAAAGAAUUCUCUCAUUUCGAUUAAUUUAUUU